GACGAACGCUGGCGGCGUGCUUAACACAUGCAAGUCGAACGGUGAAGUAGAGCUUGCUCUAUGGAUCAGUGGCGAACGGGUGAGUAACACGUGGGCAACCUGCCCCAGACUCUGGGAUAACUCCUCGAAAGAGGGGCUAAUACCGGAUAUUUGCAUUGCAAGACACCUUGUGAUGCAGAAAGAAUUUCGGUCUGGGAUGGGCCCGCGGCCUAUCAGCUUGUCGGUGAGGUAACGGCUCACCAAGGCGACGACGGGUAGCCGGCCUGAGAGGGCGACCGGCCACACUGGGACUGAGACACGGCCCAGACUCCUACGGGAGGCAGCAGUGGGGAAUAUUGGGCAAUGGGCGCAAGCCUGACCCAGCAACGCCGCGUGAGGGAUGAAGGUCCUCGGAUUGUAAACCUCUUUCAGCAGGGACGAAGCGAAAGUGACGGUACCUGCAGAAGAAGCACCGGCUAACUACGUGCCAGCCGCCGCAGUAA
rnacentral:rRNA from 1 species